GAACGGACUUUUAAAUUACACCAAUUAUUUAAAUUGAAAGUCGUUACAGCGCGAUUAUACCUGAAUACCUAUUAUUUAGGCGAAGAUCUGCCUAAUUAAUCUAUUUACAGUUUUUGUUUAUCAUUAAAUUUAUAAAGAGUACUGAGUACCUAACUCUUCCGAUUUAUCUAAGAGCCGAUCUAAUGAGUUGUGAUCGAACCAUUUUCUACUCUAUAGAAGUUGAUAUCUCUUUAUACAUAGUUGUAAACUUGUAAUAAAUGUUUCAUAACGUUAAUCGAUAAAAAGCGCGAAUAAAAUGUACCUAAAUUAAUAGUAAAUGAGAGUACAACUACUGCUCUUAUAAUACUUAGAUCUUCAGCAUUCCCAAAUUAUCCGAUUUGAUAUUUGAGCCCGUAAAAUGUAAGACAUAUUGUGCACGUGCUUAUAACUUUUUCGUAACGAUAAGUAGAGAUUUUCGAAGCUAAAAGAGCGCAUUUACACGAGUAAUGCUCCACCAAACCAACAAAUAAAUAAAUCCAACAAAUAAAUAUAGACCAGCUGUACUGAAGUGGGUUUGUCGGACUGUGGCCGACUUUUGAAUCCUUUCGGAGUCGUCUUUAGCUCGGUGUGGGACUCAUCGCGCCAAUCUUAAAAUAAAUCUCGAUAGGAAAGGCAUUCCGAACCAGUGGUAGAUGCUUUUGACGAUUCAAAAGAACUUGUAAAAGUCUAAUUGAAUAAAAAUAAUUUAAUUUGAGUCAGUUUGUGAAUCAUGCGUCUUGACACAAGAAUCCCGAACGGGUUCAAAACUAGUCGGGCGUACUCCGACAAACUGAAUGAUCUAUCUACUAUAUAUCUGCAUAUAAUAUAGUAUAAGUACAAGUACCUAAGUAUUCUAGGUAGGUACCUAAGUAUUUGACAAGCGUGGAACAAGAGGCAAUUGCAAAGUUGUAAUGUAACUUGGAAUAUCUUUACAAAUAACCAAAUCACAACUACAUUUUACGUAUAUCUUAUAGGGUAAUGUGGGAAUGCUUUUAGAAGUUGUAUACAAAUUCUAAAAACCUAAGAACACUACAUAAUACUCUUUGUCAGUAUAAAAAAGUUCGACAGUAAACUUUUCUCAGACGGAAUCGCAACUUUAGCUAAGAAUUUGUAAGACAUCCCGACGUACCUACUUAAAUGUUCUAGGUAGUUAUAGUACAUAGAUACUUCACAGCUUUUCGAAACUUUAUAAAACUUUGCCGGUUGUUCUCAGGCGUUAAGCCACGUCGAAUUUAACAAUCGCAGGCAUAUCAUUAGAUUACAAUAAUAGUUUUAAUAUUUAUGUUCAAAAUUUACGUGGGUCGCCCAGUACCAGGCGAAUUCAAAAUCAGUAAGUACCCCUCGCUAACAACUUUGCCAUGAGGAUCUAGUUAAAUGAUCUGUUUUGCCCAUUUGAGCUAAUUCUAAGACCAAAUGUCCACUAGCAGUAAAACUUGCAGAAGUCAGAACUGACAAUGUGGUCUAUAAACAGCAUGUUGAUUUCUGCAAUUUUUUUCAUUGGGAAGUAAGUAACUUCUGCAAUUUUCAUUGUCAGUGGAUACUGGCCUAAGGCAGUUAGGGCGGGACAAGAUGAUUUGACCGGUUCGGCAGUUUUCACGCGGUGUCUUUAAGUUUCAAGUUGAGGAAUUUCCCAUUCCUACACAUCCCAUAAUACCUUCUGGGUACAGAUUAUUUUGUCUAUUAGUAUCAUUGUGUCUAUGGAAAAUUUAGAAAUGGGAUGCAAUUUGCAAAAUCUGAACUAGAUAAAUAUGUGCCAGAACCUGAAGCGAAGUUUUGAAUUACGCAAUUUUUUAAGUUACUGUACGCGUUACAAAUUCUGCUAACAGUUCUUUUAAUGUAUCUGUAGGUGCUGCUUAAGUUCUCAGGGUGUGCAAACCCAGGCAGUUUAAACUUUGUUCACCCUGAAAACUUUAUCCGUAACAUAGUAUUAUCUUGUUACUAUUGAAAAAACUUAUGAAACUGUAACAUGUAUAAAUUGUUUACUCUUUUCGUAAUAAGACAUAAAAAAUUGUUUUAGAAAAAUACAAUUGAAAUUUUGAAAAUGAAGCCAAGUAAUACCGAUGGUCUUACGAUUUGUCAGAAAAUAAACCUAAUAUUUCUUAGAA